rnacentral:rRNA from 1 species
GAUGAACGCUGGCGGCGUGCCUAAUACAUGCAAGUCGAGCGAACAGACGAGGAGCUUGCUCCUCUGACGUUAGCGGCGGACGGGUGAGUAACACGUGGAUAACCUACCUAUAAGACUGGGAUAACUUCGGGAAACCGGAGCUAAUACCGGAUAAUAUAUUGAACCGCAUGGUUCACUAGUGAAAGACGGUUUUGCUGUCACUUAUAGAUGGAUCCGCGCCGCAUUAGCUAGUUGGUAAGGUAACGGCUUACCAAGGCAACGAUGCGUAGCCGACCUGAGAGGGUGAUCGACCACACGGGAACUGAGACACGGCCCAGACUCCUACGGGAGGCAGCAGUAGGGAAUCUUCCGCAAUGGGCGAAAGCCUGACGGAGCAACGCCGCGUGAGUGAUGAAGGUCUUCGGAUCGUAAAACGCUGUUAUUAGGGAAGAACAAAUGUGUAAGUAACUAUGCACGUCUUGACGGUACCUAAUCGGAAAGCCACGGCUAACUACGUG